rnacentral:rRNA from 1 species
AUAUCAAUAAGCGGAGGAAAAGAAACUAACAAGGAUUCCCCUAGUAACUGCGAGUGAAGCGGGAAAAGCUCAAAUUUAGAAUCUGGCAGUCUCUGAUUGUCCGAGUUGUAGUCUGGAGAAGUGCUUUCCGCGCUGGACCGUGUACAAGCUCUCGUGAAUAGAGCGUCAUAGAGGGUGAGAAUCCCGUCUUUGACACGGACUACCAGUGCUUUGUGAUGCGCUCUCAAAGAGUCGAGUUGUUUGGGAAUGCAGCUCAAAAUGGGUGGUAAAUUCCAUCUAAAGCUAAAUAUCGGCGAGAGACCGAUAGCGCACAAGUA